GAUGAACGCUGGCGGCGUGCCUAAUACAUGCAAGUCGAGCGGUAAGGCCCCUUCGGGGGUACACGAGCGGCGGACGGCUGAGUAACACGUAGGAACGCACCCCAAAGUGAGGGAUAAGCACCAGAAAUGGUGUCUAAUACCGCAUGUGGUCUUCGGAUUAAAGCUUCGGCGCUUUGGGAACGGCCUGCGUCCGAUUAGCUAGUUGGUAGUGUAAAAGACUACCAAGGCGACGAUCGGUAGCUGGUCUGAGAGGAUGAUCAGCCAGACUGGGACUGAGACACGGCCCAGACUCCUACGGGAGGCAGCAGUAGGGAAUUUUCCACAAUGGGCGAAAGCCUGAUGGAGCAACGCCGCGUGCAGGAUGAAUGCCUUCGGGUUGUAAACUGCUUUUAUGUGUGACGAUUAUGACAGUAACACAUGAAUAAGGACCUGCUAACUACGUGCCAGCAGCCGCGGUAA
rnacentral:rRNA from 1 species